rnacentral:rRNA from 1 species
UGGGGAAUAUUGCACAAUGGGCGCAAGCCUGAUGCAGCAACGCCGCGUGAGGGACGACGGCCUCCGGGUUGUAAACCUCUUUUGGCAGGGAAGAAGCGAAAGUGACGGUACCUGCAGAAAAAGCACCGGCUAACUCCGUGCCAGCAGCCGCGGUAAUACGGAGGGUGCGAGCGUUAUCCGGAUUUACUGGGUUUAAAGGGUGCGUAGGUGGGCUUAUAAGUCAGUGGUGAAAUCUCCGAGCUUAACUUGGAAACUGCCGUUGAUACUAUAGGGCUUGAAUUAUCUGGAGGUAAGCGGAAUAUGUCAUGUAGCGGUGAAAUGCUUAGAUAUGACAUAGAACACCAAUUACGAAGGCAGCUUACUACAUAUAAAUUGACGCUGAGGCACGAAAGCGUGGGGAUCAAACA